rnacentral:rRNA from 1 species
AGUGAACGCUGGCGGUAGGCCUAACACAUGCCAGUCGAACGGCAGCACAGUAAGAGCUUGCUCUUACGGGUGGCGAGUGGCGGACGGGUGAGGAAUACAUUGGAAUCUACUUUUUCGUGGGGGAUAACGUAGGGAAACUUACGCUAAUACCGCAUACGACCUACGGGUGAAAGCAGGGGAUCUUCGGACCUUGCGCGAUUGAAUGAGCCGAUGUCGGAUUAGCUAGUUGGCGGGGUAAAGGCCCACCAAGGCGACGAUCCGUAGCUGGUCUGAGAGGAUGAUCAGCCACACUGGAACUGAGACACGGUCCAGACUCCUACGGGAGGCAGCAGUGGGGAAUAUUGGACAAUGGGCGCAAGCCUGAUCCAGCCAUACCGCGUGGGUGAAGAAGGCCUUCGGGUUGUAAAGCCCUUUUGUUGGGAAAGAAAAGCAGCAGGUUAAUACCCCGCUGUUCUGACGGUACCCAAAGAAUAAGCACCGGCUAACUUCGUG